rfam:Nomascus leucogenys chromosome 12, whole genome shotgun sequence.
GCCAGGCAUGGUGGCACAUGCCUGUAUUCCCAGCUACUUGGGAGGCCAGUGGGAGGAUCACUUGAGCCCAAGAGCUCUGGUCAGUAGUGUGCUAUGCCAGUCAGGUGUCUGUACUAAGUUCAGCAUCAAUAUAAUGACCUCCCAGGAGCAGGGAACUACCAGGUUGCCCAAGGAGAAGUGAACUGACCCAGGUCAGAAAUGGAGCAGGUCAGAACACCCAUGCUUAUCAGUAGUGGGAUCACACCUAUGAAUAACCACUGUACUCCAGCCCGGGCAACAUAGUGAUACUCCAUCUCUU